GUUCCGGAUGAUGUAAUAAUCACGUUCCGAUCUUACAUUAAAAUGUUUCUCAUAGAAUGUUGGCGUCGUUGCUAUGACGGUUGCUGUCGCUGGACGAUCCAUUUACCCCUUUGUGACGUCUAUGCUUUGUGACCACCGAAUCCUACUGCGGUAAACGUGUGAAGGAGUCCUUCAGCAACAAGGGGUUGAUGGCUUGCUUGACAGCACGCUUUGCGUUACAGGAAUAGGCCUACCAACCUACGUUCAGUGUAAUACUUCUGCCGUUCAGGCACCGAUUUUAUAUUUGAACAUUUCUUCAUAGACAUUACAUAUAGGCUUUACUGUGGUUUGGUUGGUAGGUUUUAAACAUAUUUUUUUGUUUUACUACGGAAGAUUGACUCACUCAACUUGCUAACGUAACGUUACAUCUGGAUCUGGAUGCGGAGCAGCAGAACUACCACACCAGAAGCUCGUGGAUCAGCUCAGAAGGAGAGAGAGAAGAAUGAGUAAUCACAGCCUUGACCAUGAAGCAAGGACCAUGAAGGGAUGGCCAUCGAAAAGAAAUACCUGUAUAGGCAGUUACAGGCUACAGAAAGAAGAUGCGGAGAGUGAUCUCCCAGCAUCCUCAACUGGGUAUAAAUGUUUGUGUAUGUGUGUGCAUGAGUCCACAUGCACAUUUCAGGUCCCUGACAGAUAGAAAGUGUAGGUGCUUCUCUGACACUGUUCUAUUACACCGACAUAGGGAGACACUAAUAGCAUUUACAGCCUAAUGACUGCCUUGAAUUAAUGUGUAUACAUGUGUCAUUUAAAGUCCCCCGUAAAGAGUAUUUGUAUUUACCUUAAAAUAACGUUUCCAAAAUCAUUUUGAUGGCACAAACUUUUAAUAGGGCAAACAUCACUCAGAGUAGGUUUUAUCGCUUGUAAAAUAGCCAUAUGAAGUUGCUGUUUGGGUAGGAACACUGCACUACAUUGGUGCUGCUUUAAAUGUGCAGUGAAACAGUUGUGCAGGGCUCUGUGGUGCAGGGCUGGGUUACCCAAAAGCAUAGUAGCAAUAGUGUC